rnacentral:misc_RNA from 1 species
AUGAAACUUCAGUCGGCUUGUUAUCUGUGCUGGUGGAAACACAAGUGCACGUUAACAGGUCGCAAAUCCACACACCUGUGCAUCCUAUGACUCCAAGUUGCUCAUUGUUUGCCUUUACAGGCCGACCAACUUGAGAGUAUUUUUACACAAUCUUGAAUGUAAUGGAAUGUCUAUUGUGCAUAAUGUACAAAAA